GACGAACGCUGGCGGCGUGCUUAACACAUGCAAGUCGAACGGAAAGGCCCUGCUUUUGUGGGGUGCUCGAGUGGCGAACGGGUGAGUAACACGUGAGUAACCUGCCCUUGACUUUGGGAUAACUUCAGGAAACUGGGGCUAAUACCGGAUAGGAGCUCCUGCUGCAUGGUGGGGGUUGGAAAGUUUCGGCGGUUGGGGAUGGACUCGCGGCUUAUCAGCUUGUUGGUGGGGUAGUGGCUUACCAAGGCUUUGACGGGUAGCCGGCCUGAGAGGGUGACCGGCCACAUUGGGACUGAGAUACGGCCCAGACUCCUACGGGGGGCAGCAGUGGGGAAUAUUGCAAAAUGGGCGGAAGCCUGAUGCAGCAACGCCGCGGGCGGGAUGCGGGCCUUCGGGUUGUAAACCGCUUUCGCCUGUGACGAAGCGUGAGUGGCGGUAAUGGGUAAAGAAGCACCGGCUAACUACGU
rnacentral:rRNA from 1 species